AAUAACCGAAUAUAACACUUGGACUAAGAGUAAGGUUCGUAAUCUUUCUUACAUCCCCACCUCCAGGCGCCCAUGUAUCAUAUACACCUCCAAAAUAUAGAGCUUUGAACACUAAUAAAAAAGCACCAGCACCUAACAGAAUUAAGUGAAUACCUAAAAUAGUGGUCAUUUUGUUCUUAUCUUUCCA
rnacentral:antisense_RNA from 1 species